UACGUAGGUGGCAAGCGUUGUCCGGAAUUAUUGGGCGUAAAGCGCGCGCAGGCGGCUAUGUAAGUCUGAUGUUAAAGCCCGGGGCUCAACUCCGGUUCGCAUUGGAAACUGUGUAGCUUGAGUGCAGAAGAGGAAAGCGGUAUUCCACGUGUAGCGGUGAAAUGCGUAGAGAUGUGGAGGAACACCAGUGGCGAAGGCGGCUUUCUGGUCUGUAACUGAUGCUGAGGCGCGAAAGCGUGGGGAGCAAACAGG
rnacentral:rRNA from 1 species